AUGUGGCCGCCGCUGCCCUUCUCUCUUUCACUCCUGACCUUUGUCUCUCUAUCCCUGGCACCAAUGUGCCUGUACGGUGGCAUACACACAGCCACAGCUGGAAGGGCAAUUGGCGUUGGAAUCCCCCUUGCUGCCGCUUCUCAUUGCGAGUCCAACCUCUUAACGGCGGUGAUGAUUCUGAUGGCAAUAGUUGUGGAUGCCACAUCAAAAGGUUCCGCAAAGAAAAUCAUCCAUCAUGAAAAACAAACAAUUGACAAGUUUUUCCAGGUGGUUCAGGGUAUCAAUGCUUGUGCACAGAUUGCAGUACUAUGCUCCUUUUGCUUUGCUGUACAUAUCAAUGGUAAUGGUCUAGUUCUCAGGUCAUAA
rnacentral:rRNA from 1 species